rnacentral:rRNA from 1 species
AGCAGCCGCGGUAAUUCCAGCUCCAAUAGCGUAUAUUAAAGUUGUUGCAGUUAAAAAGCUCGUAGUUGAAUUUCGGGGUCAGUAGAUUGGUCGUGCCACUGGUAUGUACUGGUCUUACUGGCUCCUCCUUCCUGAUGAACCGUAAUGCCAUUAAUUUGGUGUUGCGGGGAGACUGGACUGUUACUUUGAAAAAUUAGAGUGUUUAAAGCAGGCUAACGCUUGAAUACAUUAGCAUGGAAUAAUGAAAUAGGACGUUCGAUCUUAUUUUGUUGGUUUCUAAGAUUGACGUAAUGAUUAAUAGGGAUAGUUGGGGGCAUUAGUAUUCAAUUGUCAGAGGUGAAAUUCUUGGAUUUAUUGAAGACUAACUACUGCGAAAGCAUUUGCCAAGGAUGUUUUCAUUAAUCAAGAACGAAAGUUAGGGGAUCGAAGACGAUCAGAUACCGUCGUAGUCUUAACCAUAAACUAUGCCGACUAGGGAUCGGAUGAUGUUAAUUUUUAAUGUACUCAUUCGGCGCCUUAA